rnacentral:rRNA from 1 species
CACGUAGGGUGCGAGCGUUGUCCGGAAUUAUUGGGCGUAAAGAGCUCGUAGGCGGUGUGUCGCGUCGGCCGUGAAAACCUGCAGCUUAACUGUGGGCUUGCGGUCGAUACGGGCAUCACUGGAGUUCGGGCAGGGAGACUGGAAUUCCUGGUGAUAGCGGUGAAAUGCGCAGAUAGUCAGGAGGAACACCGGUGGCGAAGGCGGGUCUCUGGGCCGAAUACUGACGCUGGAGGAG